AACGAACGCUGGCGGCAGGCCUAACACAUGCAAGUCGAGCGAGAUCUUCGGGUCUAGCGGCGGACGGGUGAGUAACGCGUGGGAAUAUGCCUCUUGGUACGGAAUAGCCUCGGGAAACUGGGAGUAAUACCGUAUGUGCCCUUUGGGGGAAAGAUUUAUCGCCAAGAGAUUAGCCCGCGUUGGAUUAGGUAGUUGGUAGGGUAAUGGCCUACCAAGCCGACGAUCCAUAGCUGGUUUGAGAGGAUGAUCAGCCACACUGGGACUGAGACACGGCCCAGACUCCUACGGGAGGCAGCAGUGGGGAAUCUUAGACAAUGGGGGCAACCCUGAUCUAGCCAUGCCGCGUGAGUGAUGAAGGCCUUAGGGUUGUAAAGCUCUUUCAGCUGGGAAGAUAAUGACGGUACCAGCAGAAGAAGCCCCGGCUAACUCCGUG
rnacentral:rRNA from 1 species